CGGGUGAGUAACACGUGAGCAACCUGCCCCUGACUCUGGGAUAAGCGGUGGAAACGCCGUCUAAUACCGGAUACGACCCGCCACCUCAUGGUGGAGGGUGGAAAGUUUUUCGGUCAGGGAUGGGCUCGCGGCCUAUCAGCUUGUUGGUGGGGUAACGGCCUACCAAGGCGAUUACGGGUAGCCGGCCUGAGAGGGCGACCGGCCACACUGGGACUGAGACACGGUCCAGACUCAUGCGGGAGGCAGCAGUGGGGAAUAUUGCGCAAUGGGCGAAAGCCUGACGCAGCGACGCCGCGUGGGGGAUGACGGCCUUCGGGUUGUAAACCUCUUUUACCACCAACGCAGGCUCCCAGUUCUCUGGGGGUUGACGGUAGGUGGGGAAUAAGGACCGGCUAACUACGUGCCAGCAGCCGCGGUAAUACGUAGGGUCCGAGCGUUGUCCGGAAUUAUUGGGCGUAAAGAGCUCGUAGGCGGCGUGUCGCGUCUGCUGUGAAAGACCGGGGCUUAACUCCGGUUCUGCAGUGGAUACGGGCAUGCUAGAGGUAGGUAGGGGAGACUGGAAUUCCUGGUGUAGCGGUGAAAUGCGCAGAUAUCAGGAGGAACACCGGUGGCGAAGGCGGGUCUCUGGGCCUUACCUGACGCUGAGGAGCGAAAGCAUGGGGAGCGAACAGGAUUAGAUACCCUGGUAGUCCAUGCCGUAAACGUUGGGCGCUAGGUGUGGGGACUUUCCACGGUUUCCGCGCCGUAGCUAACGCAUUAGCGCCCGCCUGGGGAGUACGGCCGCAGGCUAAAACUCAAAGGAAUUGACGGGGCCCGCA
rnacentral:rRNA from 1 species